rnacentral:rRNA from 1 species
UACGUAGGGGGCAAGCGUUGUCCGGAUUUAUUGGGCGUAAAGAGCGCGUAGGCGGCCCGUUAAGUCGGAUGUGAAAACCCGUGGCUCAACCACGGCCUGCAUCCGAUACUGCGUGGCUAGAGGUAGGUAGGGGAGAUCGGAAUUCUGGUGUAGCGGUGAAUGACGCAGAUAUCAGGAGGAACACCGGUGGCGAAGGCGGAUCUCUGGGCCUUACCUGACGCUCAGGUGCGAAAGCUAGGGGAGCGAACAGG